rnacentral:rRNA from 1 species
AUGAAUCUCCUUAGUUGGAACUGCCGAGGGGGUGGGAACUCUCGGACAGUUCGUGACCUUGUGAGUCUAGUGCAGGCUCACUCCCCGAGUAUCGUUUUUCUUUGUGAGACUAGGCAGUCUAAGAAUAAAAUGAAACGUCUUCGUGCUAGGUUAGGUUUGAGAGGUUUUGAUGCUUUUGAUUGUGUCGGUCGUAGUGGUGGUCUUGCUUUGUAUUGGCAUGAGUCUACACCCUGGAGGCUUACCUGUGUCUACGGCGAGCCAAGGACGGAGGACCGUCAUCGCAUGUGGUCCCUUCUCCGUGAUCUUCACCAAAAGGCCAACAUGCCG